AUGGAAUCUCCGGCGGCCGGGGAAGGACAGCGGUUCAAGCGUAUUCCAAGGCAGCCUUGUGGCCGGAACCUGGAGCUGGAUCCACUGCUUAAUGAGAAUUUGGAACAGUGGCCACAUCUAAAUGAGCUAGUACAGUGUUAUAACGCUGAUUUUGUGAAAGAUGGCUGCAAAUAUGGACGCUAUGAGAGUGUCGCGCCACCGUCCUUUCAGAAUCAAAUUUUUGAGGGACCUGAUACCGACAUAGAAACAGAAUUGCAGCUUUGCAACGCUAGGCAUUCCAAGCCUGAGGAAACUACUGAGGAUGAUAUGCCAAGCACUUCAGGGAGGCAAAUAUAUGAAACUGAACCAUCUGCUUCAUCUUCAAAAAAACAUUGUACUCUCUCACCUUUACCGGCAUAUGAACCUGCAUUUGAUUGGGACAAUGAGAGAUCUUUAAUAUUUGGCCAACGCUUGCCAGAAAGUCUCCCUGCAACACACAGCAGUGGAUUGAAGAUAACGGUCAAGGUAUUGUCUUUGUCAUUCCAAACUGGAUUAGUCGAGCCUUUUAGCGGUACAAUCUGCUUGUACAACAGAGAUAGGAGAGAAAAGCUAUCGGAGGACUUCUACUUCCACAUACUUCCAACAGAAAUGCAAGAUGCUCAUAUAUCUUUGGAUCGUCGGGGUGUUUUCUCAUUGGACACCCCUUCACCAUCAAUCUGCCUUCUGAUCCAGCUAGAAAAGGCUGCUACUGAAGAAGGGGGAGUAACUCCUUCCAUUUAUUCCCGUAAAGAACCUGUGCACUUGACUGAGAAAGAGAAGCAGAAGCUGCAAGUUUGGUCUCGAGUCAUGCCAUACAGAGAGCCAUUUGCAUGGGCAAUGAUUCCUCUGUUUGAAAACAACCAUGCUGGUGGUGAUGCUGCCUCUCCUAGCAGCCCUUUAGCACCAAGUAUGUCAGGCUCAAGUUCUCAAGAUAGCAUUGUGGAGCCUAUCUCCAAACUCGCUUCAGAUGGAAAACUCAACCAUUAUUCAAGUGGAAGUUCUGUUAUUGUUGAGAUAUCAAACUUAAACAAAGUGAAGGAAAGCUACAUGGAAGACUCCCUCCAAGAUCCAAAACGAAAAGUACACAAGCCAGUGAAAGGUGUGCUAAGGCUAGAGGUGGAAAAACUUCAUAAUGACCGUAAUGAGGCGGAUACCAUUUCUGAAGGUGGGAGCAUAACCAAUGAAUUGCAUGAUGCUGGCGAGCUCAAUAAUGGCAGACAUAGCAGGAAUAGCAUUGAUGGGAUCCACAGUUCUCUGAACUCUAGUGCCAUUGUCAAGAAAGAUACACACCAGAAUGGUCAAAGUUCCAAUGGAGAGAAUGGCAACAAUUUUCAAGCUUUUGACUUUCGGAUGAUGGCCCGGAGUGAACCAUUUUCACAACUUUUCCAUUGUCUCUAUGUGUACCCAUUGACUGUUAGCUUGAGCCGCAAAAGAAAUCUAUUUGUAAGGGUAGAAUUAAGGAAGGAUGAUUCUGACAUACGUAAACUUCCAGUAGAGGCUGUCCAUCCAAGGGAUCAGAAUUCAACACUACAGAAGUGUGCCCAUACCCAAAUUUCUGUUGGCACAAGAAUGUCUUGCUACCAUGACGAAGUUAAGAUCAGUCUGCCUGCUCUAUUGACGCCCCAACAUCAUCUUCUGUUCACAUUUUUGCAUGUAGAUCUCCAAAUGAAACUUGAAGCCCCUAAACCAGUGAUUGUGGGAUAUGCUGCACUUCCACUGUCGACACACAUUCAGUUACUUUCGGAUGUGUCUUUGCCAAUUUUACGAGAGCUUGUUCCGCAUUACCUGCAGGAAAGUGGAAAGGAAAAAAUGGACUACCUGGAGGAUGGAAAAACUGUGUUCAGGCUGCGGUUAAGACUUUGCUCUUCGUUGUUUCCAGUUAAUGAAAGGAUAAGGGACUUUUUCGUUGAGUAUGACCGUCACACACUACAUACAAGUCCACCUUGGGGUUCUGAGCUUCUUGAGGCAAUAAAUAGUUUAAAGAAUGUUGAAUCUAUUGCAUUGUUACAAUUUCUUCAACCAAUACUCAAUAUGCUGCUACAUCUUAUUGGCGAUGGUGGUGAAACCCUUCAGGUUGCUGCAUUUCGAGCCAUGGUUAAUAUUCUAACCCGGGUGCAACAGGAAUCAUCUGAUGGAGCUGAGAGAAAUAAGUUUCUCGUUAAUUAUGUUGAUUUUGCUUUUGACGACUUCGGUGAUCGGCAGACGCCUGUAUACCCUGGUUUGUCUACUGUUUGGGGCAGCCUAGCUCGAAGUAAGGCUAAAGGUUAUAGAGUUGGACCUGUCUAUGAUGAUGUGUUGGCAAUGGCUUGGUUUUUUCUGGAGCUUAUUGUAAAAUCAAUGGGAUUGGAACAAAGUCGUCUCUUCUACCACAAUCUUCCACUUGGUGAAGAUGUCCCACCGCUGCAGUUGAAGGAAGGAGUCUUCAGAUGCAUCAUGCAGCUAUUUGAUUGCCUUCUAACUGAGGUUCAUGAACGCUGUAAAAAGGGUUUAAACUUGGCGAAGCGCUUGAACAGCACUCUUGCUUUCUUCUGUUACGAUCUUUUAUCAAUCAUUGAGCCACGCCAAGUUUUUGAGCUGGUUUCACUGUAUAUGGACAAGUUUGCAGGGGUUUGCCAGUCAGUCCUCCAUGAUUGCAAAUUGACAUUCCUGCAAAUAAUAUGUGAUCAUGAUCUUUUUGUUGAGAUGCCUGGUCGGGAUCCCACUGAUAGGAAUUAUCUCUCGUCGGUUCUUAUUCAAGAGAUCUUUCUCACCCUUGACCAUGAUGAUUUGUCACAGCGAGCGAAAGCGGCUCGUGUUUUAGUUGUUCUUAUAUGCAAGCAUGAAUUUGACGCGCGAUAUCAAAAAAGUGAAGACAAGCUGUACAUUGCUCAGCUGUAUUUUCCUCUUAUAGGACAGAUUCUGGAUGAGAUGCCUGUGUUCUAUAACCUAAAUGCCAUUGAAAAACGUGAAGUGCUAGUGGUCAUUUUGCAAAUCAUAAGGAACUUGGACGACACAACUCUUAUAAAAGCAUGGCAACAGAGCAUUGCUAGAACCAGAUUGUUCUUCAAGCUACUUGAAGAAUGUAUAACCCAUUUUGAGCAUAACAGAACAGGAGACAGCUUGCUACUAGGUUCUAGUUCUCGGAGCCCUGAUGCUGAGCGCCCUGCGUCCCCCAAGUAUUCUGAUCGGUUAUCCCCAUCAGUUAACGCAUAUUUGUCUGAGGCUUCGCGCCAUGAAAUAAGGCCCCAGGGAACACCAGAAAAUGGGUACAUGUGGAACAGGAUUAGUCCUCAGCUAAGUUCCCCAAAUCAACCCUAUUCAUUGAGGGAAGCACUUGCGCAAGCGCAAUCUUCAAGAAUAGGAUCAACAGCCAGGGCAUUGAGAGAGUCCCUACAUCCAAUACUGAGACAAAAGUUGGAACUCUGGGAAGAAAAUCUUAGUACUGCUGUGAGCCUUGAAGUCUUGGGAAUAAUUGAUAAGUUUUCAGUUGCUGCAGCUUCUCGAAGCAUCUCGACUGACUAUGCUAAGCUAGAUUGUGUAACAUCUAUCUUGAUGGGUCUUUUAUCUAGGAGCCAGCCCUUGACUUUUUGGAAAGCUUUCCUUCCUGUAGUCUAUAAUAUAUUUAGUCUCCAUGGUGCAACACUGAUGGCAAGGGAGAAUGACCGCUUCUUGAAGCAAAUUGCUUUUCAUCUUUUGCGACUUGCUGUAUUCCGAAAUGAUUCUGUUAGAAAAAGGGCCGUUGUUGGGUUGCAGAUCCUUGUCAGGAACUCAUUCAACUAUUUCAAGAGCACCACAAGGCUGAGGGUCAUGUUGACUAUUACUUUGUCAGAACUGCUAUCUGAUGUGCAAGUAACUCAGAUGAAAUCCGAUGGAUCUCUUGAAGAAAGUGGUGAAGCUCGGCGUCUUAGGAAAUCACUGGAGGAAAUGGCUGAUGUAAGGAGUAAGGAUCAGUUGAAUGAUUGUGGCCUUCCUGUUACUGCACUGGAAGUGGCUGCUGAAGGUUCCACAGACAAUAGGUGGUCUUGGGUAGAGGUUAAGCAUCUAUCAAAGUGUCUAGUCCAGGCCCUUGAUGCUGGCCUUGAACACGCCCUUUUGGGUUCUGUAAUGAGUGUGGACAGGUGUGCAGCUGCUGAGGGUUUCUAUAAGCUAGCAUUGGCCUAUGCCCCUGUUCCGGAUCUUCACAUUAUGUGGUUACUGCACCUUUGUGAUGCACACCAGGAGAUGCAGUCAUGGGCUGAGGCUGCGCAGUGUGCAGUUGCUGUAGCUGGUGUGAUCAUGCAGGCACUUGUUGGAAGGAACGAUGCUGUCUGGAGCAAGGAGCAUGUUGCCUCCCUCUGUAGGAUUUGCCCUAUUGUGGGCACUGAUAUAGGUGCAGAAGUAGCUGCAGCAGAAGUUGAAGGAUAUGGUGCAUCCAAGCUUACUGUGGAUUCGGCCGUCAAGUAUCUUCAACUUGCGAACAAACUCUUCGCACAAGCUGAACUUUACCACUUCUCUGCCAGUAUCCAGGAACUUAUCAUUCCUGUGUACAAAAGCAGAAGGUCUUAUGGGCAGCUGGCUAAAUGUCACACGUCACUCACAAGCAUAUAUGAGUCAAUUCUUGAACAGGAGGCUAGCCCUAUCCCGUUCAUUGAUGCUACCUACUACAGAGUUGGAUUCUAUGGGGAACGAUUUGGCAAGCUCAAUAAAAGGGAGUAUGUGUUUAGGGAGCCGCGGGAUGUUCGUCUGGGUGACAUUAUGGAGAAGCUUAGUCAUACCUAUGAGGCUAAGAUGGAUGUGAAUCACACGUUACAUAUCAUUCCUGACUCGAGGCAAGUCAAUGCUGAUGAGCUGCAACCUGGUGUAUGCUAUCUACAAAUAACUGCCGUUGAUCCUGUAAUGGAGGACGAGGACUUGGAGAGCAGGAGGGAAAGGAUUUUCUCUUUAUCCACUGGUUCUGUUCGUGCACGUGUGUUUGACCGUUUCCUUUUCGACACACCAUUCACAAAGAACGGAAAAACGCAAGGCGGCCUAGAAGAUCAAUGGAAGAGACGCACAGUGCUCCAGACAGAGGGUUCCUUUCCUGCUCUGGUAAAUCGUCUGGUGGUGAUAAAAUCUGAAUCUCUAGAGUUUUCACCUGUGGAGAAUGCGAUUGGAAUGAUUGAAACAAGGACAGCUGCAUUGAGAAAUGAACUAGAAGAACCACGGAGCUCUGAAGGCGAUCAACUACCAAGACUUCAAAGCCUGCAAAGGAUACUCCAAGGAAGUGUGGCUGUUCAGGUAAACAGUGGUGUAUUAAGUGUUUGCACCGCUUUCUUAUCUGGCGAGCCUGCAACCAGGCUCCGGUCUCAAGAACUGCAACAGCUGAUAGCUGCAUUGCUUGAAUUCAUGGCUGUCUGCAAGCGUGCAAUCCGUGUGCAUUUUAGAUUGAUAGGGGAAGAAGACCAGGAAUUCCACACGCAACUUGUCAAUGGGUUUCAGUCUCUUACUGCUGAGCUUUCUCACUAUAUUCCUGCCAUACUUUCGGAGCUAUGA
rnacentral:rRNA from 1 species